rnacentral:rRNA from 1 species
AUUGAACGCUGGCGGAAUGCUUUACACAUGCAAGUCGAACGGCAGCACGGACUUCGGUCUGGUGGCGAGUGGCGAACGGGUGAGUAAUACAUCGGAACGUGCCCAGUCGUGGGGGAUAACGUAGCGAAAGCUACGCUAAUACCGCAUACGAUCUAAGGAUGAAAGCGGGGGAUCGCAAGACCUCGCGCGAUUGGAGCGGCCGAUGGCAGAUUAGGUAGUUGGUGGGGUAAAGGCUCACCAAGCCGACGAUCUGUAGCUGGUCUGAGAGGACGACCAGCCACACUGGGACUGAGACACGGCCCAGACUCCUACGGGAGGCAGCAGUGGGAAAUUUGGACAAUGGGCGCAAGCCUGAUCCAGCCAUUCCGCGUGCAGGAUGAAGGCCCUCGGGUUGUAAACUGCUUUUGUACGGAACGAAAAGGCUCUGGUUAAUACCCGGGGCUCAUGACGGUACCGUAAGAAUAAGCACCGGCUAACUACGUGCCAGCAGCCGCCGUAA